rnacentral:rRNA from 1 species
UACAGAGGGUGCAAGCGUUGUUCGGAAUCACUGGGCGUAAAGCGCACGUAGGCGGAUUGCUAAGUCAGAGGUGAAAUCCUGGAGCUCAACUCCAGAACUGCCUUUGAUACUGGCGAUCUUGAGUCCGGGAGAGGUGAGUGGAACUGCGAGUGUAGAGGUGAAAUUCGUAGAUAUUCGCAAGAACACCAGUGGCGAAGGCGGCUCACUGGCCCGGUACUGACGCUGAGGUGCGAAAGCGUGGGGAGCAAACAGG